CCCUUGUUUAAUUCUUUUAAAAACCGCGGUACGAUCGUAAGUGAUAUCAAGGAUUCGAUGUUUUUCGUUCGGAAGGAUGAAGAAAUUGUUGGUGGCUUACACAUCAAAUUCACGAUGGUGAAUCUCUAAUUGCUGAAAGAAUGAUUUGCACUUCACACCAGAACAUCUUCUUUUAUUUUUCGAGAAGAAAAAUUCACUACCCGUGAAUACGAUUUCUGAUAAAAAAUACGUGUUUUCAACCACGAAGGAACGUUUUGAUCGAUGUAUUGUGCAUUGGGGAACCGUAGAGAAGGUUCUGGAGUUUUGAAGGGAUGAACAGUUUUCAAUUUUUUCAAAAAGUAUUCCUUGUUUAUCUGCUUUGGAUCUCUGUACUU